rnacentral:tRNA from 1 species
GCUUCCGUGGCGCAAUUGGCUAGCGCGUCUGACUGUUAAUCAGGAGGUUGGUGGUUCGAGCCCCACCCCGGGAGCG